ensembl:lncRNA
CCGAGUAGAGGCUUCAUAUACGCGGAUAAACUACAACAAAUUCAACCAUUUAUCUGAUUAUAUAUUAUAUUUAUAUAUUUCAUCAUCAUUAUAUCAGACUGUAGUAUAAACAAGUAUUAAGAAGAAUACAUUUAAGAAUAGAUUUAAUGAGAAUGAUGGACCUUUAGGUUUUUAUCAAUCUCCUGAGCUAUCGAGAAAAAAAGAAAAGAAAGACAGAAAAAAAAUACCUCAGAAAGUGAAACAAGACAAACUGAUAAAUGGAUCAAAGCUUACAGAAAAGGGUGAUGGAGAGCUAUGAGGAGUACCGUUUGAAGAGCCUGGCCCGCGUGCACGCGCAGAGAGGGUGCAGUGCGCGACACGGACACACGGGGGCACAGUCCGCCAUCCGCUUCCACGGGAGGCACGCGCUUCUUCCCAGGCUCAGUGAACAGCAGCGUGCCGAGAUGGCUGAACAGAGACAGAGGGCAGUGCAGAGAGAGUGUGAGAGACACACACAGACGUUCAGAUCUCUGCUCGAUCGAGUGCAGGACAUCAUCAAACACGUACAGGUCAUCUCCACAC